UCACAGUCAUAUCACCCUGCAGCCCAAGACCGGUUACUCACUGAAUUCUAAGCAGGACUGAGUCUGGUCAGUACCUGGAUAGGAGACCACAUGGGAAAACUAGGUUGCUGUUGGAA
ensembl:rRNA 5S_rRNA 5S ribosomal RNA